rnacentral:rRNA from 1 species
CCUACGGGGGGCAGCAGUGGGGAAUAUUGCACAAUGGGGGAAAUCCUGAUGCAGCGACGCCGCGUGAGUGAAGAAGUAUCUCGGUAUGUAAAGCUCUAUCAGCAGGGAAGAAAAUGACGGUACCUGACUAAGAAGCCCCGGCUAACUACGUGCCAGCAGCCGCGUUAAUAUGUAGGGGGCAAGCGUUAUCCGGAUUUACUGGGUGUAAAGGGAGCGUAGACGGCGCUGCAAGUCCGGAGUGAAAGCCCAUGGCUUAACCAUGGUACUGCGCUGGAAACUGUGGAGCUUGAGUGCGGGAGGGGCAGGCGGAAUUCCUAGUGUAGCGGUGAAAUGCUUAGAUAUUGCGCAGAACUCCGAUUGCGAAGGCAGCAUACCGGCGGCGAUCUGACGCUGAGGCACGAAAGCGUGGGUAUCGAACAGGAUUAGAUACCCCAGUAGUC